UUUAGAACUCGAGAUAUGGGCUGAACACUGAACAAUAUCUGGGUUGCAGGAUAGAUUCAGACUUCUCCGUUGUUGCUACAAAUUUGGACUUGAAAAUGGCCUUUUUAAAUCUUGAACUCCGCAUGAAAGUUUUAGGCCUAUGUCUUAGCUUUCCAUC
rnacentral:pre_miRNA from 1 species